GUCUUCGUGGUGUAGUGGUCAGAAUACUGGGUGCAUAUUCCAGAGGUCUGUGGUUCGAGUCCCGGCGAAGACU
rnacentral:tRNA from 1 species